rnacentral:rRNA from 1 species
UUUUUUGUUGUUGAUUUAUUUAUAGAAAUAUCUUGUGGUUUUUGUAUACUAUUUGUGAUUUAAUUUUGUUUAAGUGUUAUUUGUUAUUACUGUGAAGGAAUAUUCUAUAAUUUUUAUAAGUAGGGUUGAUUUUCUGUACCUUGUGUAUCAGGGUCUAUUAAAUUUUAUUAUUCAUGUUUUAUUUCCCGAUCUUGAAAGAUUUAUUUUAUUAUUUUAUUUACUGUAUUAUAAGUAUUAAUAAUAUAUUAUAGUAGCGAAAUGUUAUUCGGUUUCUUUGGUAUCUGGUUUUCUAAGAAAUGAAUUUAAUUCAUAAUGUUGUUUUUGUAAUCUCUUUUAAUUGGGGACUUAUUAAUAAUGUUUAAUAUGGAGGGGGAUAAGCUUCUUUAUAUAUUGUUAUAAUUUGUUAUAGUUAUUGGUUUUGUUGGUUUUAUAUUAACUAUCAUUUUUAUUAUGUUAUAAUUUUAUCUAUUACUAUUUAAAUUUACUUUUGGUUUAAUUUUUUAUUAGAAUUUUAUUUAUAAUGAAUUGUUAUUUGUAAUUAUGAUUGAAUUAGUAUACUAUUUAUUUAUAUUAUUGUUAUUUAGUACAAAUUGUUAUUAAUGAACUAGGCAAAUAUUUCCUUCGCCUGUUUAUCAAAAACAUCUCUUUUUGUUAAUUAUUUAAAGUAUGAUCUGCCCACUGAUAUUAUUGAAGGGCCGCGGUAUUUUGACCGUGCAAAGGUAGCAUAAUCAUUAGUCUUUUAAUUGGGGACUGGAAUGAAUGAUUGGACGAGAGGUAGUCUGUUUCUUUAAAUAUUUAUUGAAUUUAUAUACUAAGUAAAAAUGCUUAGAUUUUUUAAUGGGACGAGAAGACCCUAUAGAGUUUAAUUAAUAAUAUUGUUAGUUGGUUAUUUAUAUUGAUUUGUUAUUAAUUUGGUUGGGGUGAUUAGAAGAUAAUAUAAACUCUUUUGUUUUGAUUUAUAUUGAUUUAUUAUUUUGUGAUCCAUUUUUAUUGAUUGUUAGUAAAAAUUACCUUAGGGAUAACAGCGUAAUCCCUUUUGAGAGUCCUUAUCAAUAAAGGGGAUUGCGACCUCGAUGUUGGAUUAAGAUUAAAUUUGGAAGCAGUUAUUCAAUUAUUUAGGUCUGUUCGACCUUUAAAAUCUUACAUGAUCUGAGUUCAAACCGGUGUGAGCCAGGUUGGUUUCUAUCUAUUAUUUAUUUAUAUAUCUUAGUACGAAAGGACCAGGUAU